rnacentral:rRNA from 1 species
CCUACGGGAGGCAGCAGUGGGGAAUAUUGGACAAUGGGGGCAACCCUGAUCCAGCCAUGCCGCGUGUGUGAAGAAGGCCCUCGGGUUGUAAAGCACUUUCAGUGAGGAAGAACGCCUGGUGGUUAAUACCCAUCAGGAAAGACAUCACUCACAGAAGAAGCACCGGCUAACUCCGUGCCAGCAGCCGCGGUAAUACGGAGGGUGCGAGCGUUAAUCGGAAUUACUGGGCGUAAAGCGCGCGUAGGUGGCUUGAUAAGCCGGUUGUGAAAGCCCCGGGCUCAACCUGGGAACGGCAUCCGGAACUGUCAAGCUAGAGUGCAGGAGAGGAAGGAAGAAUUCCCGGUGUAGCGGUGAAAUGCGUAGAGAUCGGGAGGAAUACCAGUGGCGAAGGCGGCCUUCUGGACUGACACUGACACUGAGGUGCGAAAGCGUGGGUAGCAAACAGGAUUAGAUACCCGAGUAGUC